AGGGUCAAGUGAGGUAAGGGCGCAUGGUGGAUGCCCAGGCACCUGGAGCCGAUGAAGGACGCGGCAAGCGGCGAAACGCCCCGGGGAGCCGCAAGCGGGCGUUGAUCCGGGGAUCUCCGAAUGGGGAAACCCGCUUGGG
rnacentral:rRNA from 1 species